CGCAAGCCUGACGGAGCAACGCCGCGUGUGGGAAGAAGGCUCUUGGGCUGUCAACCACUUUUCGCAGGGAAGAAGCCCUGACGGUACCUGAGGAAUCAGCCUCGGCUAACUCCGUGCCAGCAGCCGCGGUAAUACGGAGGAGGCAAGCGUUAUCCGGAAUUAUUGGGCGUAAAGCGUCCGCAGGGGGCACAUCAAGUCUGCUGUUAAAGGCUGGAGCUUAACUCCGGUAGAGCAGUGGAAACUGGUGUGCUAGAGGGCGACAGGGGUAGAGGGAAUUCCCAGUGUAGCGGUGAAAUGCGUAGAGAUUGGGAAGAACACCGGUGGCGAAAGCGCUCUACUGGGUCGCACCAGACCCUCAGGGACGAAAGCUAAGGUAGCG
rnacentral:rRNA from 1 species